rnacentral:lncRNA from 1 species
UUUAUAGGCCAAGUGCUGAAGAGCCUCAAGAGAUUAUGAAAUAAUCCAAAUGGAAGUGCUUGAAAGACUGUUUCUUGGGAUACAGAGAACCAGUCUGGAAAAACACCAUGGAGACAAGACUCUGGGGAUCAACCCUCCCUUAGCUCUUGGUUAUGGAUCAAACAAGCUUUUUCCAUCUGUGUUUUCUUCCAUGAAACAUAACCCCUCUGGAUCCAGUGCAAGGAGCACCAAGGAGCAGGAGGAGAGGGGAGGUGCCACCUGUAUCCAGUUGUUUCAUCAGUUCCUUGCAGCCCACUUGCAAGAAAAGCCAAGUGAAUCUCAGAAGACACGAGCAGUUAUUCACCUGAGAAUGGGAGGUGGGUUUGUCUGCCUUAUCUCUCUGAAGAUGCCCUCCAUUAUAAAUCUGCUGGAUACAAGGACCCUGGGAUGCUUUUUGGAGUAG